GCCUUAUCAUAUUUGUAAACCCCAUAGUAUUUAGUUGGACAUUUUAAAAUUUAUUUUGACUUGUGGGGAAAGCAUCACUGGAAAAAAAAACUCAGACCUAUUUUCCAAAUUACUAUUUUUUAGCACUGCAACAAGGAUAUUUCCCAGGCUCUCAAAACACAGAGUUGAGGCAAUUGAAGUCAAUUAAUGGCAAAGAUUGUUAUGGGUUGAAUUUCUUUUUUCCUCCAGAUAUAUUUGAAAGUUCUAACCUUCAAUAUCUGUGAAUGGGAUCUUAUUUGGAAAUACAGCCUCUGCAAAUGCUCAAGUUAAGAUGAAGUUUUAGAGUCAAACCCAAUCCAAUAUUACUGCUGUCCUUAUAAAAAGAAAAAAAAAAUGGACAUAGAGACAAACGUAUAGAAAGACGGACUCUUGCUGUGUUGCCAGGCUGGAGAGGAGGACAUGAGGACAUUGCUUUCUCUGGAACGCAAAAGAACAACUUGACACACCUGAUAAAUAGUGCAGAAUAACAAAUUUUUUUAAAAGUUUCUUCAAUGAUUUAAGACGCAUUUGCACUCAAUUGAUUCAGUGUAUAAAAAUUAUUGUGUGGCUAUGGUAGAUCAGUCACUGUAAUAAAUAACCGUUAUACUAAACAAAAAAUUCUAUCUUUAAGAAUUAUCAAAGUACUUAAAAUGUCUAGAAUAUUUUAAUGAAGAGAUUGUAUACAUUGAUAGUGCAAUUCUCAAUUUGAAGAUGGUGGUAAUCUUUAGGAGAUAUAAAGGAUGUUGAUAAUCUGGUGGUUAACUUGUAUAGCACAUUUAUUUCUUUAAAAUUUCUUUCUCUCUUCAGAGAUUAUUUUAAAUGUAAACUUUCACAUUAGCAACCCCCUGUAAAAUUAUGUGGACCCCAUUUCAGAUAAUAAAAAAGUGUAAUUGUGCUCUAAAAAUAGACAAUUUGAAUGAUGAUGACAACAUUGAGAAUUUUAAUACAAGAUAUUAUUAACUGUU